UUUCUGCUUACUGUCCUACUAAAUCUUAUUUCUGUCAGUUUCCACACAGAUCUAGCUGAUUGCUUGAUUGGUCCCGCUUGGCAGGAAAAUGGCCUGUUGAAGUGUGUGAGAAGCAGGUGCAGGACUUGGCCCCAGCAGCCCCAGCCUGUGGCCACGGCACGGAAUAAUAGCAGCAGUGUUUCUACACAGUGGAGCGCUGUCACAACCAGCCACUUGCAAAAAUACGACACGUUUUUCAUAGACGUGUGCGCCGGGAAGGAGAAGCUCAAAGAGCCAGCUGGAAACGUCGACCCUAAAGGUAUAUAUUGCACUACUGUCUGUGCACCACAGACUGGUUAACGGCCUCCUGCUGCGAGCGUAAAAACUAAACAAAACCUUCUUAAAGGUGCAGAACGUCUCCGCUCCUAACGCAAAGCAGUAGUUCCACAGUGGAUUCUGGACUGCCAUAUGGACCGACGUAGCAUUUUUACCACCCCAUGACUACGAUCAGAAGAGGGAGCAAAUUACAUGCCUUAUCUGAUGUGGAAGGGACUGCCGGUCAACUUGAAGGACACCGAGCAGCUGUUUGUGUGCUUUGGGGAGUACCAUAAGCCGGCUUCGCUGUCUAAGGACUGGUUAGGCCACUGCCUAAAGGACGUGAUUACACAGGCAUACUCACAUGCAAGUCAAGAGACACAUUCUUCCAUUAAAAGUCAUUUCAUAUGUGCUAUGGAUACUUUUGUGGUGGUACUAAGCUGAGUGUCACUCUUGAAGCAGUGACAUCAUGCUCAACGUUCAUCUUCACCAGAUUUAACUGACUGAAUGUCGCUUCAUUGCACCCCAUGUACUC
ensembl:lncRNA